rnacentral:rRNA from 1 species
GACGAACGCUGGCGGCGUGCUUAACACAUGCAAGUCGAACGGAAAGGCCCUGCUUUUGUGGGGUGCUCGAGUGGCGAACGGGUGAGUAACACGUGAGUAACCUGCCCUUGCCUUUGGGAUAACUUCAGGAAACUGGGGCUAAUACCGGAUAGGAGCUCCUGCUGCAUGGUGGGGGUUGGAAAGUUUCGGCGGUUGGGGAUGGACUCGCGGCGUAUCAGCUUGUUGGUGGGGUAGUGGCUUACCAAGGCUUUGACGGGUAGCCGGCCUGAGAGGGUGACCGGCCACAUUGGGACUGAGCUACGGCACAGACUCCUACGGGAGGCAGCAGUGGGGAAUAUUGCACAAUGGGCGGAAGCCUAAUGCAGCAACGCCGCGUGCGGGAUGACGGCCUUCGGGUUGUAAACCGCUUUCGCCUGUGACGAAGCGUGAGUGACGGUAAUGGGUAAAGAAGCACCGGCUAACUACGUG